rnacentral:rRNA from 1 species
GACGAACGCUGGCGGCGUGCUUAACACAUGCAAGUCGAACGGAAAGGCCCUGCUUUUGCGGGGUGCUCGAGUGGCGAACGGGUGAGUAACACGUGAGUAACCUGCCCUUGACUUUGGGAUAACUUCAGGAAACUGGGGCUAAUACCGGAUAGGAGCUCCUGCUGCACGGUGGGGGAUGGAAAGAUUCGGCGGUUGUGGAUGGACUCGCGGCUUAUCAGCUUGUUGGUGGGGUAGUGGCUUACCAAGGCUUUGACGGGUAGCCGGCCUGAGAGGGUGACCGGCCACAUUGGGACUGAGAUACGGCCCAGACCCCUACGGGGCGCAGCAGUGGGGAAUAUUGCACAAUGGGCGGAAGCCUGAUACAGCAACGCCGCGUGCGGGAUGACGGCCUUCUGGUUGUAAACCGCUUUCGCCGGUGACGAAGCGUGAGUGACGGUAAUGGGUAAAAAAGCACCGGCUAACUACGUG